rnacentral:ncRNA from 1 species
CAGUUAACUUCACAGUGGGCGGCAUAUAAAGAAACUUAUAUGCGUUUAUCUGUCAAACUCGGGGAAGCCAAUAGCGCGGUAAUCCCGAACCAAGCCUCAGAAAUGAGGAAGGUGUAGAGACUGGAAGGCAGACACCCUAACGUUAAUGACGAGGGUGAAGGGACAGUCCAGACCACAAACUGGUUG